UCUGCGUCACGCUGCUCGCCCGCGGGCGCCCGCACUUGCACGCACGUCUUGGCGCCGGGUUGCCAGCGGUGUCCGGCUAGCAGUGACCGCCGCGGGGGGUGCAACCGUUGUCCUGAGCCGUCCGCCGCGUCCCGGGUGUGCRGGCAUGCAUGGCUUGUGUCCUUGGGGAGAGCGUCA
rnacentral:rRNA from 1 species